GACGGGGGAUGCAAGCGUUAUCCGGAAUGAUUGGGCGUAAAGCGUCUGUAGGUGGCUUUUUAAGUCCGCCGUCAAAUCCCAGGGCUCAACUCUGGACAGGCGGUGGAAACUACCAAGCUGGAGUACUGCAGGGGAGACUGGAAUUCCUGGUGUAGCGGUGAAAUGCGCAGAUAUCAGGAGGAACACCGGUGGCGAAGGCGGGUCUCUGGGCAGUAACUGACGCUGAGGAGCGAAAGCGUGGGGAGCGAACAGG
rnacentral:rRNA from 1 species